CCAACACGUCUGUUGUAGCAGAUCACGACUUCUGCGGCACCUGCCAGAAAACGCAUACAUUUUUCUUCCUCGUCAGUCUUCUAUCCACCCCUAAAUCCCAUUCCAAAGCGAAAACAAGAAAACCUAUAAGAACCAAACAAACUUUCAAAUCAAAUUUAUAAUCGAAACCCGGACAUCGUUUGUUUUCAGUCUCGUUUUGAAUUAAAAGGAGAGAAAAUGUCGGCCGAUUUGACGCUGAGAUCUUCGUGCAGCGGAUGUGGAUCGACGUCGGAAUUAUACGGAAGUAAUUGCAAGCACAUGACUCUGUGCCUGUCCUGUGGCAAAACCAUGGCUGAGAACCGCGCCAAAUGCUUUGAAUGUGGCGCAAUCGUCACUCGCUUAAUUCGAGAGUAUAAUGUUCGUGCGAGUACUGUCAACGACAAGAACUACUUCAUUGGUAGAUUUGUGACUGGGUUGCCAAGUUUUUCGAAAAA